UUAAUGGCCGUGAUUUUUAUAUAAGAAGCUGAAAAUUCACAAGUAUCUACUCAGUUUGUGCUCGAAAGACAAUUGUUAAAGAAGAUCCCGCUUCUAAGGAGUGAAUCGAUAAAACGAAUAUAUAUCAUCAAAAUUUCAAGUUUUGUUCUGAAAAGAAAACAGCCCGAAAAUGCACAGAAUGGUGUUCAAUUGUGGUCGUUGCACCCAACUGUACUAUGAUAAUUGUACUAAAUAUGACCAGAAAAAAUGCCCCAAUUGCUACGCAUCCAAUUCUCCCACAAGACCGAGCACUCCUCAGGCACCUAGAAACACUUCAAACAAGAAAAAGUGACUGCGGCCAGUGGUGAUGCCAUUUUUUGUGGACAGACUCGAAUUUAAAAAAAAAAAAUAUUAUUUCUCGUAUGCUAAGAUCAAAAUGCUAUUUUAGUUAUGAUCAUCAUUGUAUUUCUU